AAUACCCCUACAGGCAUUGAAGGUGCAGCUGCUGUGUCACAUGUGUUUCAGUACCUGACAGAAGAGAAGCUGUGUCUAAGCUCAGUGUUGUAACCUGUGAACAUCUAAAUGAUUUACAGUCUAAUUUU
ensembl:snoRNA